AGGGUGGUAAGGUAAAGUUACAUUUGUAAACGCUGAUUUGGAGUAGCUGGUAACGGCUCGCUGAAGAGAAGAAAGGACACAUUCACUGCAGCUCUCCCAGCAGAGAAAGUGCUAACGACUCCCUCAGGAAGAGAACAGUGAGAGGCUAACCGCGCUCUGCUGACACCCGGGGAGUGGCUGACGUGUUGGGUGUGUGUUCGUGUGCCUAGAACUGCGAGAGAGUGGUUUAAAUAUGCAGAACAGACAAGCCUAGUCACACAGGCUACCUGUCGCUGUUAGUUUGAGCUGCCUGUUUACCCUGGAGAGAAGAACCGAGAUGGUCCGAGCAAGUAACUAGAGCCUUGCUGCAGAUCCCACUGACAAAACCUGAAGACUGCCUUGGUGAAAGCCAAGGAACAAAGAUGGAGUCUGUUUACAUUAAACAAGAGGAGGUUCUGGAAUUGGUACCUAUCUGCAUUAAACAGGAGAUGCCUGAACUGGAGCCUGUCCACAUUAAAGAAGAGACUGAACUGGAGCCUGUCCACAUUAAAGAAGAGACUGAACUGGA